GACGAACGCUGGCGGCGUGCUUAACACAUGCAAGUCGAACGCUGAAGCUUGGUGCUUGCACUGGGUGGAUGAGUGGCGAACGGGUGAGUAAUACGUGAGUAACCUGCCCUUGACUCUGGGAUAAGCCUGGGAAACUGGGUCUAAUACUGGAUAUGACAUGCCACUGCAUGGUGGUGUGUGGAAAGGGUUUUACUGGUUUUGGAUGGGCUCACGGCCUAUCAGCUUGUUGGUGGGGUAAUGGCCUACCAAGGCGACGACGGGUAGCCGGCCUGAGAGGGUGGGCGGGCAGUCGGGGACUAAAACACGCCCGAGGCGCCCACGGGAGGCAGCAGUGGGGAGUAUGGGACAGCGGGCGUCGGCCUGAUGCCGCCGCGCACCGUGAAGGAAACCGGCCUUCGGGUAGUGAACGUCUUACAGCCCGCAAACCGCGAGACAGACGGUACGGGCAGAAGAAGCGCCGCCUAGCUAAGC
rnacentral:rRNA from 1 species